GAGGGAAUGAAUCCAUGAGGCACCACGAAGUGACUUGGAAUGUGGGGGAGUUCUGGAACAUGGCAACAGAAGGGCCGGGAGGAGGCUGCUAGCGAUGGCUGCAGGGAUGAGAAGGAAUGGAGAAGGGGUCACGCUUGAACAUAAGCACUGGAACCCAGUCCCAGAACUUCCUCCAUCUACUGAGCACCCUGCUGAUAUAUCAAGGGAAUAGGAAAAUAGGAUUUACUCCUGGCUCCCAGACAAUAUCACGUAUUUUCAUAGUGGUCCCAAGCUCACUAGGGUGAUCAGAAGACCAGGCCUCCUAUCAGCCAGCCAGUGGAGGCUAUUUGGAAGCCCCUCAGCUCAACUGAGGCAAGUACUCCCUUCCCCUGCCCACCCCAUCAUUGCACCCUCUUCUGCUGCUGCUUUCUUUGUGGUCAUGCCCGACUUCCCCCUUGCCUUAAACAGAAAGCCAGAGGCCCCUCCAGGCUGCCAGGAUCCAAGGAAGGCAGAAUGAAUCUCCCGUACAGUGGGAAGCGACCUCAGGUUGGGAAGAGUUCCUCCCAGAGUCAACUCAGUAAAACAAAGGAGUCUUAUGGAUAGGCGAUUGAGUACAUAUUGAGUGCCUUCUGUAUGCACUGCAUUGGUCGUUCCCUAAUGUUCUUUCUGAUCUUGAGUAAACCACUUGGUCCUUUGGUAACUCAUUGUUGUCAUCUCUAAAAUGGCUAAUACUAGCAGUGAGGACUAAAUUAGAAGACGCAGCUGAAAAAAAAGAAACUUUAUAAGGCACUCUUACUUGCAACUGUAACACCAUGCACACACACACAUACAUCCCUCCGAUUGAGUUGGUCAUUUUGGAUCUCUAAAAAGGACUGAAUUUAGUUGUGUACCCACCCUCACCCCUGCACCCAUACCCCAGUAAGAAGAGAAAAAUCCAGAUGAAUUGUCUAUCUCUAACCUCUGCCUCUGAAAUAGGUUAGAUCUGAAGUUAUACCAGCCUCUCUGGAUGCCGUCUGUGACAUUUGGGAGUCUUUGUCCUGGGAGGAAAUACUGCAUAGUCAGAGGCCCUCAGGGGAUACUACCAAAUGUAGAGGGAAGUUGUCAUCUAUACUAUUUGCUCAUUGACUUGUAUAAAUGCCUAUGGUACUUGGGGUAAAGAAACCAGCAUAGGAGUGUGUAGAUUCCUGAGUUACAGUCCUGCCUCUAACCUCCCUUUCCCUGAACCUCAGCUUCUCAUCUGUAAAAUGGGGUGUGAGGAGGCAGUCCCAGGUCCCUCCCAGUCUAGCAUUCCUUUGCAGAUUUGCCCUGCCCCUUUCCUAGGUCUUCAGACUCUCCCUCUUUUCUCCUCUUCCUACUUUCUUUCUGUGCUACUAGCUGACCAUCUCUAGGCUCAGUAGGUGCA
rnacentral:lncRNA from 1 species